AUUGAACGCUGGCGGCAUGCUUUACACAUGCAAGUCGAACGGUAACAGGUUAAGCUGACGAGUGGCGAACGGGUGAGUAAUGCAUCGGAACGUGCUCGGUCGUGGGGGAUAACGCAGCGAAAGCUGCGCUAAUACCGCAUACGAUCUGAGGAUGAAAGCGGGGGACCGUAAGGCCUCGCGCGAUCGGAGCGGCCGAUGUCAGAUUAGGUAGUUGGUGGGGUAAAGGCUCACCAAGCCGACGAUCUGUAGCUGGUCUGAGAGGACGUCCAGCCACACUGGGACUGAGACACGGCCCAGACUCCUACGGGAGGCAGCAGUGGGGAAUUUUGGACAAUGGGCGCAAGCCUGAUCCAGCAAUGCCGCGUGCAGGAAGAAGGCCUUCGGGUUGUAAACUGCUUUUGUACGGAGCGAAAAGGCUCUCUCUAAUACAGGGGGCUCAUGACGGUACCGUAAGAAUAAGCACCGGCUAACUACGUGCCAGCAGCCGCCGUAA
rnacentral:rRNA from 1 species